rnacentral:rRNA from 1 species
UGAGGAAUAUUGGUCAAUGGAGGCAACUCUGAACCAGCCAUGCCGCGUGCAGGAUGACGGUCCUAUGGAUUGUAAACUGCUUUUAUACGGGAAGAAAACGAGUUACGUGUGACUAACUGACGGUACCGUAAGAAUAAGGAUCGGCUAACUCCGUG